rnacentral:siRNA from 1 species
ACGUCAUGAUCCUGCGACCGAAUA